rnacentral:lncRNA from 1 species
GCAAAUCCACAGGACAUUCAGAACAAGGAUUUACUUGAUCUAUAAAUUUUCACCCAUUUCACUUACUAACACAAUAUGCUUUAAUUAAACGACUAAAUCAACAAAGCUGAGGCAAGGAGAGGAUCACUUACAAAGAAGAUACCAUGCCGCAUAAACCAUCAAAAAAUCCUCCAGGUCCAGCACCCCAAGCUCCUGGUCCACCCCAACCAGGCCCUCCAAGUCCCGGACCCCAGCCAAGUCCUCCGGGUCCAGGACCCCAGCCAGGUCCUCCGGGUCCAGGACCCCAGCCAGGCCCCCCGGGUCCAGGACCCCAUCCAGGCCCUCCAGGUCCAGGUCCCCCUGGUCCACCAGGAUGCAUUUCCUAGUUCUUGCUCUACUGAAAUGGACACACAAAGGUUCCUUAACUUGAAACGAAGAUAUCUGGGAAAAUCAGAGCAGAUGAUCGCGUGAAGAUACUUUAAUAAACCUAAGGAACUCGCAGUGUUUGCGAAGAAAUG